UGAGGAAUAUUGCGCAAUGGGGGCAACCCUGACGCAGCAACGCCGCGUGAGUGAGGAAGGUUUUCGGAUUGUAAAGCUCUGUCGAGCGGAAAGAAGUGCAUUAUGGCUAAUAUCCAUGGUGCUUGACGGUACCGCUAAAGGAAGCACCGGCUAACUCCGUGCCAGCAGCCGCGGUAAUACGGGGGGUGCAAGCGUUGUUCGGAAUCAUUGGGCGUAAAGCGCGUGUAGGCGGCUGGACAAGUCAGAUGUGAAAGCCCUGGGCUUAACCCAGGAAGUGCAUUUGAAACUGUUCGGCUAGAGUAAGGGAGAGGAAAGUGGAAUUCCUGGUGUAGAGGUGAAAUUCGUAGAUAUCAGGAGGAACACCGGUGGCGAAGGCGACUUUCUGGCCCUAUACUGACGCUGAGACGCGAAAGCGUGGGUAGCAAACA
rnacentral:rRNA from 1 species